rnacentral:rRNA from 1 species
GAGUUUGAUCGUGGCUCAGAGCGAACGCUGGCGGCAGGCUUAACACAUGCAAGUCGAGCGGGCGUAGCAAUACGUCAGCGGCAGACGGGUGAGUAACACGUGGGAACGUACCUUUUGGUUCGGAACAACUGAGGGAAACUUCAGCUAAUACCGGAUAAGCCCUAACGGGGAAAGAUUUAUCGCCGAAAGAUCGGCCCGCGUCUGAUUAGCUAGUUGGUGAGGUAAUGGCUCACCAAGGCGACGAUCAGUAGCUGGUCUGAGAGGAUGAUCAGCCACACUGGGACUGAGACACGGCCCAGACUCCUACGGGAGGCAGCAGUGGGGAAUAUUGGACAAUGGGGGCAACCCUGAUCCAGCCAUGCCGCGUGAGUGGUGAAGGCCCUAGGGUUGUAAAGCUCUUUUGUGCGGGAAGAUAAUGACGGUACCGCAAGAAUAAGCCCCGACUAACUUCGUGCCAG